CAGCAGCCACGGGAAUACGAAGGGUGCAAGCGUUACUCGGAAUUACUGGGCGUAAAGCGUGCGUAGGUGGUGGUUUAAGUCCGUUGUGAAAGCCCUGGGCUCAACCUGGGAAUUGCAGUGGAUACUGGGUCACUAGAGUGUGGUAGAGGAUAGUGGAAUUUCCGGUGUAGCAGUGAAAUGCGUAGAGAUCGGAAGGAACAUCUGUGGCGAAGGCGACUAUCUGGGCCAACACUGACACUGAGGCACGAAAGCGUGGGGAGCAAACAGGAUUAGAUACCCCCGUAGUCCCUGUCUCUUAUAU
rnacentral:rRNA from 1 species